rnacentral:rRNA from 1 species
AUUGAACGCUGGCGGCAUGCCUUACACAUGCAAGUCGAACGGUAACGCGGGGCAACCUGGCGACGAGUGGCGAACGGGUGAGUAAUGCAUCGGAACGUGCCUGGUAGUGGGGGAUAACUGCUCGAAAGAGCAGCUAAUACCGCAUACGACCUGAGGGUGAAAGGGGGGGAUCGCAAGACCUCUCGCUAUCAGAGCGGCCGGUGUCGGAUUGGCGUGUUGGUGGGGUAAAGGCCCACAAAGGCGACGAUCCGUAGCUGGUCUGAGGGGACGACCAGCCACACUGGGACUGAGACACGGCCCAGACUCCUACGGGAGGCAGCAGUGGGGAAUUUUGGACAAUGGACGCAAGUCUGAUCCAGCCAUGCCGCGUGCGGGAAGAAGGCCUUCGGGUUGUAAACCGCUUUUGUCAGGGAAGAAAUCUUCUGGGUUAAUACCUCGGGAGGAUGACGGUACCUGAAGAAUAAGCACCGGCUAACUACGUGCCAGCCGCCGCCGUAA